GUGAAAAAGGGUUCUGUUUUGUACCUUCAAAGCUUUCACACAAACAGGAGUGAGCUAUGGAUUUAGAAGCCUCAAAGAAGUUUUCAAAAAUAACCAGUAAAGUCAGUGCAAUGGAGAAAAAAAUCCCUCUUGCAGUGAAAGCUACUGUUGUUGUGUUAAAAUCAAGGGGGAUGUGAAUACCUCCGGUUGGCAUCUCAGCUGGCCAAUGUGCUCCCAUCUUUUUCUUCGGUUAUAUUUCCUCCAGACUGCUCCUGGACAUCAACUCUAGACAGUUUCUUGGAUAACAGAACAGACUGGUGGUAACCUUCAGGAGUUGUAACAGCAGCAUGUGCUUGGAUCAAAAAAGAGACUUGAGCUCUGUUCUUAAAUAACAGGCAAGUUCAGCUCUUGUUUACACGCAUGAGACUUUUACUGACAAUGAUGAGCUUAGAGCUGUAUAUACUACUCACGCAGAAUACAUAAUCAAGAGUGGAAACUAAUAAUUCUGAGACACCAGCUUUUAAAAAGACAGGAUUUAGAUGUGUUUGUGAUUACGGUGAUAUUUUAAACAAUUCUCAUAAUAAAGUGCUCUGCAUGUGUGAGUACUGCUUACUGACUGAAAGGUAGAUCACAAACGUGUAUGUGGGAUCUCACACCUGGCAGAAAACCAUUUUGUUGUCUCCUAUCUGCAGCCCUGUUUGGGCAUGCUUCAUUAGCUCCACCUGUGCAGGAGAAGUAGAGGAAAGAGUCCUGAGACAAAUCUGGAUCUUGGGGUAAAGUCUGUAUUGAUCUGUAGGUUGUAAAACUCUUUCUCCUGUAGUCUGUGAAAAUUCAGAACAGAAGCAACAAUCAAAGGAAGAAAAGCUUAUUUUUACAAAAUAGGAUUUUAAAAUCUUUCAUUGUAAUCCUAGACGGGCUUUGUUCUGACUGACUGCUAGGAUCAGAUUUACGCCAACUUUGGGGGAGUCCCAGUGGGGCAAAAUUGUUGCUUAACCUGGUAGAUAGCUUCCAGUAAUGGAUAGUUUAUAUAAAAUGGGAAUGUUUGGAUCAUUAAAUCUUAACUUGGAUUUUUUUUGCUAAGGAGCCACGUCCAGGCUCCAUUAACAUUUCAUCUUAUAAGCUUCUGUAAUUAGUUUCCUGUGAAAUUCUUACUUUGCCAUAGUCCUUUCUUUGUCCUUUCAAAACAAAAUUGUUAAAGAAUUUAAACAAUGGACUAUAGAUAAUUUGUUUGAAAUCAAGGAACAGCUUUACACCUUCAUGUCCAAGAGAGGCAAAAGACCUGAAAUACUGCAGGACAUAGAUGUGCCACCUGUUCCUCGGUGUCCUCUAUACUCAAGGAAUUGUGUACAAGAAUCUUGGUGUGACUGUCUAAAGGCAAAUAAACAAGAUUUAACAUGCAUUGUGACUUUAGAAAUUGGAAUAAUGAUAAAAACUUUCAGAAAACUAACAUGAACUUUAUUUAGUAGUAAUGUUAUUUUUUAGCUUCUGGGAACAGCGUUUCUUUUUGUCAUGUAAUCUGGAAUAUUUCAACCAUGUAAUCCUAUGUGGCAGAUAAAUACAUUUCAUAUAUAUAUAUAUUUUCACCUUAAAAAUAUUUAAUAAAACAUUCUUUUAUUUGCU
ensembl:lncRNA